rnacentral:rRNA from 1 species
CCUACGGGAGGCCGCCGUGGGGAAUAUUGCGCCAUGGGCGAAAGCCUGACGCAGCGACGCCGCGUGAGGGAUGAAGGUCUUCGGAUCGUAAACCUCUGUCAGCAGGGAAGCACGGUCACUGUGCUAUUCAGCAGUGACUUGACGGUACCUGCAAAGGAAGCACCGGCUAACUCCGUGCCAGCAGCCGCGGUAAUACGGAGGGUGCGAGCGUUAAUCGGAAGUACUGGGCGUAAAGCGCUCGUAGGCGGUAUGUCAAGUCAAGGGUGAAAUCCCCGCGCUCAACGUGGGAACUGCCUUUGAAACGGGCAAACUGGAGUGGGUGAGAGGAGAGUGGAAUUCGUGGUGUAGGAGUGAAAUGCGUAGAUAUCUGGAGGAACAUCAGUGGCGAAGGCGACUAUCUGGCACAUAACUGACGCUGAGGAGCGAAAGCGUGGGUAGCAAACAGGAUUAGAUACCCCAGUAGUC